rnacentral:lncRNA from 1 species
UUCUUUUCCAACCGGCAAGCAAUUGAUCCGACCCAGAUGUCACUGUAAUAUGCUGAGUUAGCAUGCAAAAGAGUGAUUGUUAGAACAAAAUACUAAUUUUUGGAUAACACAGGCUAUUCUCCAACUUACUCUCAUCAGGUCUCAACUCAUGUAAUAGCUAUGUAUAACAAUCACAUCAUCUGUUACGUGAAUAUGCAUGCGUCACCACAAACAAUUUAUUCCGAGCCAUCAAAUUGAAUAAAAAAUAAUUAAUUACAGCUUUCUAACCAUCAAUGUGUAACAUAGUAAUUGAUAUCAUAUGAUGAAGCCACUAUGACAGAGACAUUACAAACAUGCUCUGCACAUUCAUAAGAUCAUAGAGUUAAAAGAGGAUAGAGUUGCUCCAAACUUCAAUUGAGUGUAUUUCUUAGAGCAUGACUUGAGGAUUAAGGAGAAAAUAAAACAAAUAUGCAGUUAC